ensembl:snRNA U6 U6 spliceosomal RNA
GUGCUCACUAUGGCAGCACAUAUACUAAAAUUGGAACCAUACAGAGAUUAGCAUAGCCCCUGCGAAA